GGAGUAUGAACUCCACUGAGCCCACUGUCGUAAUAAAGGUUUUUCUCCACCUCUUCAAGUGACCAUCAGAUGCUCGAGUCUUCAAAUUGCAAUAGCUGUGAUGCUGAGCUGUGACACUCUGCUGUAACACUGAGCUCUAACACUUGGCUGUGCCUCAGAGCUGUAACACUUGGCUAUAGCACUGAGCUGUUCUGCUUUGCCACAACACCCAGAGCACUGGGAUUACAGGUGUAGCCCACAUUAGCUCAGAGGGAAUGUUGUAUAUUUUUGGGGGGUACCAGGGUUUGAACUCAGGACCUUGUGCUUGUGAGGCAGGCGGUGGAACCACUGAGCUAAAUCCCCAGCCUGGGAAUGUUGUAUUAAAUCAUCACUGCCAGACCAUCAGUUUUCUCUCUGAAGAUACACACCAGGUCAUGGAGCAGAAGCGGUAAACUCACAGAGGUGCUGAAUGACCAACAAGUGACAAGAACCUGUUGAUGUGAGGCAGAUACAGCUGUGGAAAUGGAUGGCUCUGGACCAGCCUAGCCCUCUCUCUCUCUCUUUAAAUUCUGAGACAAGAUCUCACUUAGUCACUAAGUUGCCCAGGCUGGACCUAAACUUGUGAUCCUCCUACCUCAGCCUCGAAGAAUGCUGGGAUUACAGGUAUGCAGCACCCGGCAGGGCUAGUCUCUUCUUUCUUGAUGCUUUUAGGGUCUGUUGGUUCUACUCUGGAUCCUGUGUUCAUCCCUUGAUCAUUCACUUCCUUCUGUCAGAGUCUCUCUUCCUGGUGGCAGAAAGGUUUCUUGGUAUCUGUGUGCAAUCGUUCAAGGCCCUCACAACAGAAUUUCACUCAAUGGACUGUCAGGGAGAGGCUGUAUCUGCUAAAAGUUUCCUCUUCCCUUUUACAUCCAGCCAGGCUGGCUUGUGCAAACUCAUGGUUGAGCACAUUCUCUUGGCUCCAAGCUAUCUGUGCUCGCCAGCUUGUUACCUUUCUGCCCCACUGUAAUGGUGGAAUUGGGUUCAAAAUCCAGCUCACUUGUCAGGAAAAAAUUCUGUUUUUCGUUUUUUUUCUUUUUUGAAAAGCAGCUCUUGAACUAGGUUCCAGCUAAAAGCUGAUUUCUACCUAAGGUUGAUUUGUGUUUUUGUUUUGGGAAUUUUUGUUUGUUUGUUUGAGACAGGAUCUUGCUAUGUAGUUCAGGCUGGCCUUGAACUCACUGUGCAGCCCAGACUGGCCUGGAACUCAUGGCGAUCCUCCUGCCCCAGCCUCCCCAGUGCUGGGAUUACAAGUGUGCACCACCACACUCGGCCUCCACCUAAGUUUACACGUGGCUGCCACAGUGCCACAGAGUUCACUGUGGACACCCUUGCUACCGGAAGAAGUCAAGGGUUUGCCAUUUGCCCACGUAGUGCCCUCUGCUGUUCUGUGUGCACCCAAGGCAGCUGCAUAAAGUGAGAGCACCGCCCUGACAUGAGAAGGGUGUGCUGACUUGGGCUCCAUGGACAUCCGUGGCCCAGCGUCUGUGGACCGGGUCUCCCACCCAGUGUCCAUGAACUGUGUACGCCUCAGCAUCCAGGGAUUCAGUUUUACUUCUCCAAUCUGUGGUAACAUCCAUGUCCUGAAAAUCAGCCCCCCUCUUACAAUGCAUAUAAAGUAAGAGGGGCAGCCAAUGACCAGGAAGCUUUUGUUUUGUCUGAAUGAACCUGGAUCUCACAUGGAGUAAGGCUACUUCUUGACGAUGUCAGAACCCUUGUCUACCCCACCUGAGCUUCCUGUCCAGUUUUCGACUCUCGCCUGCCCUCAUCAGCUUUUCCAGGCCCUCACCACCUUUCUUUUACUUUCAAGGAAACAAAGAGUAGCAUUUUAAUUUUCCUUAAAUCGAAAAUCAGAAGUAACUUGCCUUUGUUGAUUUUCCCAAUCCAUAAAUGAUUCUGCACUAAAAGUAAAUGUUUCUCUGAAAAAUCUUAGUUGAAGAUUCAAGCAGAAAAAUCCUAUAAUAAUUGCAAUAAAAAUAAAUAUUAUUUUAACAUAAGUGUUCCAAAGACUUCAAUCUGCUAUCACAGAUAUAUGCUUUCAGUAAUCGUUUUUAAUUAUAGCUAGCUCUUUUUAUCAUAGGAGUAUACUCUAAAAUAAUCAUUAAAAUAUAAUACAUAUCGAAGCCCUCCAAAACUGUGAAAACUUGGGGAGGAUGAGGCAAGGGGGGUUAUGGGGGAGUGGAAACGAAUGUGUGUAUACAAAUCUGCCAAAAUGAAACCCAUUUACUGUAGAGCCAAUAUGCACUAAUUUUAAAAAUGUGAAAAUAGGGCCGGGGAUUUAGCUUAGUGGUUCCCCCGCCUGCCUCAGGAGCACAAGGUCCCGAGUUCGAUCCCUGGUACCAAAAAAAAAAUGUGAAAAUAAAUUUUAGUUGCAUAGAUCUUAGCUCUCACAUGAUAGCUCCUGGAGAGCUUGUUGCAAUGCUGGUUCUGAGUCAGCAGGUCUGGCUCAGGCCUGAGAAUCUGCAUUCCUUCCACUUCCCCAGUGGUGCUGGUGCCUUUGGUCCAAAGACUACAUGGAGGAUGAAGCAUUUUACCUACCUCUAACUACAAUUUCAAUUAGAGUCUUUAAAACUCUCCAAAAACUCACAUAGUGGCUAGUAAUGUUUUCCUCUUGCUACUGGGCCUUAUUUUGUAUGCAUUAUUUAUUUCAUUGUCUCCAUGUAGCUAGUGGUCUUGGAGGGGGGUUGGCUUUCUUUUUUUUCCACUCUUCUUUUUUAUUGCAUACUGGUUAUAUAAAAUAAAGGGUUUCAUUUUGGCAGAUUUGUACAUGCAAGUAACAUACUCUAUGAUUUCCCUCUCAUCACUCCCUUUGCCCUUUCCUACCCCCUGGUUUUACUUUUUUUGGGAGUGGGCUCAAGGCAUAUAAUUUAUUUUGAUCAUAUUAAUUCUAAUUAACAAUAUUUAUUAACACAAGUUUGGAAAUUUUAAAUUAAGUGCCCUGAGCUUUCAUUUACAUGAUACCCAGAAAUCAGGCCAGAGUCCGCAUCUCUAAAGCCGAUUUAGGUCUCCAUGACAAUGUCAUAGCUUUGGCAUGCUUGCUGCUAGGUAGCCUAGGAAAACUCCAGAAUAAAUACACUGACUAGGCAACUUCUGUUUGUGUUCAGUUCCUCUACUGCCAGCCUGGCAGGACCCAGCACUUACACACUCGCACAGUGCUGCGGUGGACACUAAAGACCUUUGUGGGCUAAAUCCUGUUUAGCAGCUCCUUAAGUCUUCUUUAUUGUGUGCCAUGGGUGCAUCAGAGGAACCCUUUCCCCAUCAACAGUUUCCAGUGGGAUCUUCUGCCUCCUUGAACAGCUUCGGAAGUUCUCAGGCCCAUUAUCUGAUCCAGUGUCACAUGCUCAGCUGCCCCACGCCUGUUGCCUUCUUAAGCAGCAGUGGAAAUGUUCUGGUGUCGGAACCUUUCAUUCCUUGCAUAACAGCAUGACGUCAUUUUGGCAUCCCCAUGAUUCCUUUGUCCGCUGCUGCCUUUCGUCCUUUACCACUUGGCAUGGAAGGCAUAUGAGGCUACAGAGAGACAAAGGAAUGGAAUCCCUGGGCUUUCCUUUGAAAGGAGGUGGUGCUGGUGUAAACAGGGGAGUUUGCAAGAAUAUCCAGCUGUCAACUAAGUUUUCCUCCACAGGAGAGAAGAUUAAAACCUUCUCCCAAAUGGAGAAGAGCAAAGAUUGGGCAGAAAGGCAGAGAAUUAGUAUAGCUGGGUUGUCCUUUGCCUGGAUGCCAGCACCCCCAAAUCUCCUGGCUGAGGGCAAAGCAGGGGGUGGACACAACUAACUCCCAUUAAGUAUAGCUCAUGCCCCGUUUUCUGGUGCAAGCCUGGUGGGCCAGCAGCUUUGUAGAGAAGACUCCCAUGUAGAGUGAAAAGCCCUGACUCCAGGCUUCCGGAAAAUUCAGAGAGAAUGAGGCAGCACACUUAGAGGAAUCUGUGAGCCUGGGUAACAGGGGGCCAUAGAAGUAGGUGCUGCAUUGCUGUCCAGCUAGACAUCAAGUGAGGACCUGGUUACAUUUUUCCUUUAAAUCCCACAGUAGGGUUGAUUUUUAAAACAAAACAAAAUUUUAAAACCCACCUGCCCAUAAAAGCUGAAUAAGAUUUUGCUAAGGUUUAAGAGACAACAAUAGAAAGAUACACGGGCACUCAUCUUAAAGCUAGAUAAUGGGAUUUAUAAUCAGGUUAGAUUCAUAACCAGAAUUCUUCAGCCGGUGGCCCAUGAUGGCACCGAAAUGCUGGAAUGUCACAUGUCGAUGGUACCAUUGAGUCCAUCCCUAGGACCUCAGAAUUGGAUCGCUACACUGCUUAAUGUCUAGUCUCUCUCCCGUUUAGGUAAUAUCCAGUCUUGUUUCUCAAGUGAAGGGCAACAGGGAUUGCCUUGACUUCAGAAGAAACAUCAAGCCCUUACCAAAGGGAAUAUAGCAAAGCAUUCUCUCUGUGGAACCCCUGGGAACAAGUGGAAGAGACACUGGUCUCUUCUCUCCAUGAGGGUUAUCUCUGGAGGUAACAGGGUAACAGUUAUUAGAGGUAAAGUGGUCCCUUUAGUACACUAACAGGUGUACUUUCCUGUGACCCAAUGUGAUAGUGCUUAGAAACCCAGGCACAAAACAACAGGGCCAGGUAAGGAUAUUAUUUGUUUCUUAAACAAGAAUGUAGCAUGCAUUGUUCCCCAAAAAGUGAUGUCCAUCCUCAGGAACUUGUGCCUUAUCUCCUGAAAGAAGCCAGGUGACUUUUGUAGACAUAGUUGUUCUAGCGUGUCAAAGACUUAAAGAACCAGACAUGCAUGAACUACUCAGGGUGGGAUUCUUGAAGGAAAUCCAUCAUCGUAGAGACCUAUACUCACACUAACCCAAGGAUCAGCAACUGCAGAGCACUUCCGCCUUCAGACUCAACAUGCACUACUGGCUCGGUCCGUUUUCUGCUGCCAUGAUAGAAUAUCCAGAACUUGGGUAAUUUAUAAAGAAAAGGGGUUUAUUUUGGCUCACAGUUCUGGAGACUGGGAAGCCUAGUAUCAGGUGACUGCAUCUGUUGAGGGUCUUGUGCCCCUGAAGCUGAAAGAAACAAUGGGCUCUUGUCGAAGAGGAAAACAGCAGAGCAGCCCUGCUUCACAGCAUUCUCUCAAUAUCUAGUCCAGUCCUUCUAGAAAGACACUAAUCCCCUUUCGAGGCUUAUCACUUCUUAACAGCCACACCUCCCUACACUACCGCCCUGGCAGUCAAAUUCAAAUGAGCUCUGGAGGGGACAAACUGUAUUCAAACCAGAGCCCCAGGGACCACCCACCCCAUUAGCCAGUGUGAUUUAGACCUGGCACCUAUGUGACUGGUCAGGGCAGAGCAGAUGGGGACAGGUGAGGAGGUCCCUCCUGGGAAUGAGAUUCCCUAGAGCGAGGGGUCUCCUGAAAGGCAUAGGUGGGAUUCCUAUAAGGAGUUGAAAGAGCAACCUGUAUGUCCACGGACAGAUGAGUGAACAAAGAAAAUGUGCCUUUAGACACCAUGGAGUCCUACUCUGCUAUGGAGAAAGAUAAGCUUGAGUCAUCUGUAGGAAAAUGGGUGCAUUUUGAGAUCGUAGUGUUAAGUGACAUAAAUCAGACACACAAUUUAAAUAUUAAAUGGUUUCUUUUAUAUGAGAACCCCAAAGUAUAAAUAGAUUAAAGCAUUAAAUGAAAUACAGAUAAAAGAAAACAGGAAAGUAAAUCUUUUGCAAAUGGGAAGUGGACUAAAAGAUUGGGGCAGAUGUAAAAAGAAUUAAGAUGUGUUAUGUACAGGCACCAACUGCCCACAACAAAUACAGUCGAUGUGUCCUGCAAACAUGGACUAAUAAAAAUUACAAAAGAGUUGAAAAAGGGCCUGAGGAAGAAAAUGGGGACAAAGGGAAUGGGGUUGGCACUGGGGAGUUCCCUCAAAAGUACCUUUGGCAAAAGGCCCAGUUUUAAAAACUGAUUUCUGUCUUAGAACCUGGGAGAAAACAAGUUGUCCAAAACUUUAGCCAUUCCCCUCACGCAGUGAAAUGCCCUUCGAAUGUGUCCCAGCUCCUGAGCUGACUGAACGGCUGACAGGACCGGGUGGUGAAGAAGGGAGGAACGGCCUCCUCCCUGCCCCCAGUGAGGUCCCAGCCUCGUGGGAGACAUAGCCAUGCUUGCCAAGGAACUCUGACCCAGAAACUCAGAGCACGGCCGCAGUCCUGUGUGAGACAAAGGGAAAAGGCCACACACCAUGGAGGAGCCCGGAGAGCCCCAGGAAGAACGCAACAGUGACGGCUGAUAGCGCAGAGCUGGCCUCAUCUGGCUGCAUUCCUACAGCUGGCGGCUCGGGGAGUUGGGUGUCCAGGGUCCUCUGCGCACAGGGCCCGGCCUCAGCCAGGACUGCUGGGAAGCCUGACAGACUGGCAGGGCCAGACAGGCCCCUGCAUGCCGGACUGCAGGCAGCUGCACACAGGUGCUCAGGGAGGGCUUCCCCGAGAGGUGCCCUUUGAACCGAGGUCUUUCUAGGAAUGGAAAGCAGCAUUGGUAAACAGAAGGGAAGGGGUGGAAAAAGAAGGAGAAUAAUUUGUAGGAAAGUGUCAAAAUAGCCAGACACGGUGGGGCCUUCUUGGAGUCCCAGCACUCUGGGAGGCCAAGGCAGGAGGAUUACAAGUUUAAGCCUUGCCAGGUGUGAUGACGCACACCUGUGAUCCCAGGAUUUGGGGCGCUGAGGCUACAUGGUGAGUUCAGGGCCAGCUGGAAGCACAUAGCAAAAGCCUGGCUCAAAAAACCAAGUUCAAACCAAGCCUGGAUAAUCUAGUGACUUGGCAAGAUUCUGUCUCAAAAAUAAAAAAUUUUAAAAGGGCUGGUGAUUUAGCUCAGGGUGAAGGCCCUGGGUUCAAUUCCCAGUACCACAAAAACCAAAAACCACUGUGAAGUAGAAGGAAGUAGGGUAGUUUCUAGGAAAAAUGAAAAGAAUGAAAUCAGUUUGGCUACUAAAUGGGGUAAAAGAAAAACAGUGUGUUUCCCAGGCCCUGUGUGUUCAAGGAGCUAUGGAUUUUUAAUUUUUUUUUGUACUAAGAAGAAUGGGAAGCUAUUUAAAUGUUUUAAGUGACAUGAUCUGAUUUGCCUUUUGUUUGUUUGUUUUGUGGUACUGCACAUUGAACCCAGGGCAUUUGCACUGAGCUACAUCCCAAGAUCUUUUUUUAAGUGUUUUCUUCUUCUUCUUUUUUGGUUCCAGGGAUCAGACUCAGGACCUUGCCCUUGCGCGGCAGGCCCCAGAAUUACUGAGCUAAAUCCUCAGCCCAAGCGUUUUCUUCUUGAGACAGGGUUUUGCUAAGUCUCCAGCUUGCUUGGUUAGAACCUGAGAUCCUCCUGCCUCAGCCCCCAAGAGUGCACCACUACACCCAGCUUCGAGCUGCUUUUUAAAGAAUAGCCAUAGUUAUGCAUGUGAGGUAUUUCAGGGGACCGGAAGCAAGGCUUCUCAGCCUCAGCACACUGACAUUUUGAGUCAGAUGAUUGUUUACAGCAUCGCAGGGGACCUGGCAGCAUCCCUGGCCUCACCUCACUAGAUGGGAGCAGCACCUCCUUUCUUGAGAUUGUGGGAAAACCCUGUGUCUCCACACUGCCAAUCACCACCUCGAGAGCCGCAGCCUUCCUGGUUGUGAACCACGGCACCAGGCAAAACCAGGGAUUCUCUGUUCCCUUUCACACUCAUCCGUGGGAGAAGGAACCAUCACUUGGACUUGGGUGAUUAGGGUGGAGCUGGGGUAAGCAGCUGGCAUUUGAGCAAAGAGAAAGUGAGCUGAACAGCGUCUGAGUGGACAGAUCCAUCACAGCAGACCAGGCUUUGCCUCUCUUCUUCACUUCCCUCCUUCAGCAUUCUGUCUGCUCUGAGAAAAGAAUUUGGUCUCCUUUGUGUUGGGAAAUACUCAUAGUCGGGGCGGGGAGGCGGGGGUCAGAUAUCACGAGAAAUGUACAAUCAAUCCAUCUUUACUCUUCUGAGGUUUGUUGAUGCAACAUUCACGGAGGGUCAGUCUGACCGAGGCAUUGAUUGAAAUCAGCCAAGCAGUGAGUCUUCAGGCCAGUUUUGAAGGAGGGAAGCCCAGAGAAUUAGAGAGCAAAUCCUGAGAAGUGAUAGCCUUGGAGAGAGUUCUAGAAGCAGGCUCUCUAAGUACCUGCCAACAACACUCUAGCAGCAAGAGCUGGCCUAGCCGGCACCUGGCCAUUGGCCACCUGUCUUCUGGAGCUGGUUUGGUCCUUUUCAUGCACAGUGCCCUCUUGUCUUUUCUUUUGCCGCAAAGAAUAAUGACUCUCUAGUCCUCCCCUGGCUGCACGGAAGCAUUGCAAGGAACUGUGGGUUCCCAACCCCAAAACUCUUGAAUUAUCCUAUGAAAGAUCCUGCCCUUGCUACUCCACCCGGAGAGUCUGGUUUUCUGUAAGAAAGGAAAGGUUUCUGUGUCUGCUCCUAGGAAGGAAAAAUAGAAACCAUAGCCCCUUUCAAAUCAAAGUUUUGUCCUUGAGUCAAAGGCACCUCCAGAGUCUCCUGCCAAGAGGAGUGAAAAGCCUUUGUUUGAUUACGUAAAGAGAUCAGAAUUCAUAAAGGUCAUCGUCUCACUCAUGCUGAGUUUGAGAAAUGUGUCCUUUCUCUUCUUCUAACAUGCAGCUGACACUGAAGGCAAAAUUGUCGUUUCAUUUCUACUCUUCCCUUGCUCUUUUUCUUCUGACUUAAUGAAUAUAAUCACCCAAGAGACAGUGGUCAUGUUAUGGGCAUUGUCGUUAAGUUCUCAGCAAUGUAAGCACAUUGAAAUUUAGAAGACAAUGUGAAAAAUGGAAGGUUGAUUCUUUUCUUAAGGGUCAGAAGGCUGUCACCUUUCUAUAGUCUUCCUGGCUUCUCCUGAGAUAAAAGUGACCACGAAUCAUAAUCACAAACACCCCAGCCAGCAGCCCGAACACUCUGACUUAAUAGCAAGGAGAAAAUGCCUCUGUAUAGUAGACCCCAGUUAUGUCUAAGUGACAACAGAAAUGUUAAGAGCACCUUAUAGCAAACAUCACAGCAACAAUAGUUUGCAGACAAGAAACUAAAUAAAUGCCAAAAUCAGUGGGUAAAAGUAUGAUGACAGGAUAUUAUUAUAGACUCACAGUGUAUCCCCACAAGAUUCUUACUGAGUUCGAGGGGAAUAUAUUACAUUUACAGUGGAGAAAUCUGUGAUGGAGUUAACAAUGUAACUAGUAUUGAAAGAUGUCUAUGUCAUGUCUUCCCUUAUGUGACAGACUGUGGUAUUCUUGCUCAAAUUCAUAACCUUGAAUUUAAUCACAAGGAAACAACAGACAAGUCACUACUGAAUCGCAUGUUGCCAAGUUCAAUAGACAUUCCUGGUUGUACCCAACUUAUCAGUGUUGUGUAAUAUUGAGUUUGCAAACUCAAGGGCUCUCGCUUGCUGGGGAGGCACGGCACCUCUGAGCUACAUCCCUGCCUCUUAUGUAAUAUUGUUAAAUACUCUUCAAAAAUUUUUUUAUUUAUCUUGCAGUACUAGGGAUUGAACCCAGUCUUUCUCACUGAGCUACAUGUUCAUCUCUUUUUAAAUAUUUUUUUAAAUUUUAAGACUGGGUCUUGCUAAGUCCCUAUGUUGUCCAGACUGGACUUGAACUUGGGAUCCUCCUGCCUCAGCCUCCCAGAGUGCUAGGGAUAUAGGCAUGGCCACUAUGGCUGGCUGAGCAUCGAUUCUUGACUCACUUUCUUCUUUUUUUCUCUAGGACACAACUUCCUUUGCUCUACUCGAACUGUACAGAAUGCUUCCUCUCAGCCAACUCUUGUGAUUUCUUUCCAUCUUCCCAACCUCUGAAGCAACUCCUCAAAUGAACUUAUCCACGUCCUGUGGCUUUUGGGGGAUAAGAAUGCAGCUCUCACAUCCUCACUCCACGUAGCAGGGAUCAAAAAGGAGAGUACAGGGCCGGGGAUUUAGCUCAGUGUUUCCACCGCCUGCCUCGCGAGGAAGGGCAAGGUCCAGAGUUCGAUCCCAGGUACAAAAAAAAAAAAGAGUAUAGCACCCAAAGCCCCAACACACACACACACACACCCAGAGCCCGGAUGUAGUCACAUGGGCACUUUACUGUCAGGGGCAGUGAUCGUGUAACAAGUUGCAAACAAGGGCUCCGUAAUUGUCACAUAAGAGAAGAACAGACAUUACAAAAUAAUUAGUAGACGCUUCUAUAACUAAUAACUCUUCUUACACCCUCAGUGUAACAAGGGCAGAAGUCAGUUGGAUCCAGACUACAAGUAGCAGAUUAUCCUGAGCUUCAUCAGAUG
ensembl:lncRNA